rnacentral:rRNA from 1 species
UCUUGGUCAUUUAGAGGAAGUAAAAGUCGUAACAAGGUUUCCGUAGGUGAACCUGCGGAAGGAUCAUUAUCGAUUCUGAAGGAUGUGCUGGCUUAACUGCAUGUGCACUCCGAAAUCUUCAUCCACCUGUGCACUCUAUGUAGGCUGAAAGGGAGCAAUCUCUUUCUGUCUAUGCUUUUAUAUACCCCUUUUAAAAAUCUUAUGAAUGUAAACUUGGCUUGCUUAACACACAAGUCGAAAUUUAAAACAACUUUCAACAAUGGAUCUCUUGGUUCUCGCAUCGAUGAAGAACGCAGCGAAUUGCGAUAUGUAAUGUGAAUUGCAGAAUUCAGUGAAUCAUCGAAUCUUUGAACGCACCUUGCACCCUCUGGUAUUCCGGAGGGUAUGCCUGUUUGAGUGUCAUUAAUCUCUCAACACAACGAGUUUAUUCUUGCUUGUGCUUGGAUGUUGAAGGCUGCCGGCGUCAUUGCCAGCUCCUUUUGAAUGUAUUAGCAGGACUAUGUAGGACCAGCUUCGGUUUGAUAAUACUUUUAUCUAUGCUGUCGCUGAGAAUCGUUUUGUUCAGCUUCUAACUGUCCCUUCUGUGGGACUGUCUCCUUGCUGAGGCAUAACCUUGACUCUUGACCUCAAAUCAGGUAGGACUACCCGCUGAACUUAAGCAUAUCAAUAAG